UUUAAACCAUUUUUUUUCUGCAUCAUCCCCAAAAAACAGCCCCUUUUUGCAGUCGAAAAUCACAGCCUGGGAACUAAUUUUUUAAGGUUUCUUUUUAGCAUUCGAAUCACCAUUGUUUUGGUGACUAUCUGCAUGUAAAGAGCACCCACUCUCCUCGUUGAAGGCAGUUGAACAAGUUUUUUAAAAAAGAUUUAUGCGGAUGAUGAUCGGAUUUUAUCAACGGAGAUCCCAAUUUUAGAAAUCCGGUAUGAUGCAACGACUGUACGGAGAAAAUCCCUCGUGAAAGUUGUGAGAAAUCGUCUCUCUGGUGCACUUCUAGUAUAUUCCAGGAGCUGCUGCUGAAAUUCACUUUUCUGCUGGGCUCUUUCAGAUUUGGGCUAGACUUUAGGUUUAUUAGGAUUGGGCUUUAAUUUCAUGUAAAGGGUUUUGGGGUAUUUGUUUAAUUGGAUUAAAUAAUGUAUUUAGGCUACUUUUUAUUAUUUUGGGCCUGAUGAUGUAAAAUUUAAACAUGAUCAUAGAUAUUUUAAUUUAUUUGGGUUUAUUUAAAUAAAUUAAA